rnacentral:rRNA from 1 species
UACGUAGGGUGCAAGCGUUAAUCGGAAUUACUGGGCGUAAAGCGUGCGCAGGCGGUUAUGUAAGACAGAUGUGAAAUGCCCGGGCUUAACCUGGGAACUGCAUUUGUGACUGCAUGGCUAGAGUGUGUCAGAGGGGGGUAGAAUUCCACGUGUAGCAGUGGAAUGCGUAGAUAUGUGGAGGAACACCGAUGGCGAAGGCAGCCCCCCUGGGAUAACACUGACGCUCAUGCACGAAAGCGUGGGGAGCAAACAGG